rnacentral:lncRNA from 1 species
GAUUCAUCACUCCCAAAUAUUAAUGUUUGGUAAUAGCAAUAGAAAAAUGAAAGAAACAAGAUUGAAAUCAUAAUGUUUGAUAUUAAAUAUGAAAACAAGAAAAUGUAAAAAGAGAGAUAUAAUAUAUAAAUUCAGAAUGAAUAAAUUCUAAAUUUAAACAUGAUCAAGUCACCACCCUUCCUUACAGAUCCACCAUAAAUAAUUUUUUUUACAAAUAUCUCUGGAAUUUCUAUCACCACUACCACCACCACCAUGUCCACUCCUACCUUUUCCUCCUCUACCACCACCACUAGACCCACCACGUCCACCCAUACCACUACCAGCAGUAACAACACCACCACCACCAGACCUACCACGUCCACCUAUACCACCACCAGCAGCAGCAGCACCACCACCACCAGACCCACCACGUCCACCCAUACCACCACCACCACCACCACCACCACCACCACCAGACCCACCACGUCCACUCCUACCUCUUCCUCCUCUACCAGUACUCUUGUAUCCAGAAUCUUCGUCGAAACCAAAAUUAGUAGGAGAAUUCGAAGGAUAAUACCUAGCAAAAGAGCUACCCAGACAUAGGCAAAGUAAUAAGAGGAGCAAUGCCAACUUUAAUGAAACAUCAGACUUCAUGAUAGUCUAAGUUCUUGCAAAACAAUCUUUUCCAAGACUCAAUAAUAUAAGCAAGAAGGCUAAGUUCCAUCUCAUUGAAUAUGUUUUUUUUUUUCAACACUGCAUUAUUACUCCCUCUAGCAUUUGUUCAUUUAACAAAUGUCUUUGACUUUGAUAAACAAUUAUAGAACAGGAUAAGGAUUAUAAAGUAAGGAACCUACCUAUCUUUUGACAAUCGAUGCUUUUAAGUGACUUAUAAGGAAUUUGACUUUUGAGUUGGUCGGAUUUGACUUUUGAGUUGGAUGAUUUGGAAUUUGGAUUACUCACAACUGAUACGAUCCGUUCGUCUUGUGCAAUGUGGCAGAACAUGUAGCGCGGGAUUGGAACGUACGUAAUUCAAGACAAGGG